rnacentral:rRNA from 1 species
GAUGAACGCUGGCGGCGUGCCUAAUACAUGCAAGUCGAACGCAUUGUGGUUGAAAUGAUAUGAAGAACUUGUUCAGAUUUGAUUUUCAACAUUGCAAUGAGUGGCGAACGGGUGAGUAACACGUGGGAAACCUACCUCUUAGCAGGGGAUAACAUUUGGAAACAAAUGCUAAUACCGUAUAAUAAUUAAAACCGCAUGGUUUUAGUUUAAAAGAUGGUCUUGCUAUCACUAAGAGAUGGUCCCGCGGUGUAUUAGUUAGUUGGUGAGGUAAUGGCUCACCAAGACAAUGAUACAUAGCCGAGUUGAGAGACUGACCGGCCACAAUGGGACUGAGACACGGCCCAUACUCCUACGGGAGGCAGCAGUAGGGAAUCUUCCACAAUGGACGAAAGUCUGAUGGAGCAACGCCGCGUGUGUGAUGAAGGGUUUCGGCUCGUAAAACACUGUUGUAAGAGAAGAAUGACAUUGAGAGUAACUGCUCAAUGUGUGACGGUAUCUUACCAGAAAGGAACGGCUAAAUACGUGCCAGCAGCCGCGGUAAUACGUAUGUUCCAAGCGUUAUCCUGAUUUAUUGGGCGUAAAGCGAGCGCAGACGGUUAUUUAAGUCUGAAGUGAAAGCCCUCGGCUCAACCGAGGAAUUGCUUUGGAAACUGGAUAACUUGAGUGCAGUAGAGGAAAGUGGAACUCCAUGUGUAGCGGUGAAAUGCGUAGAUAUAUGGAAGAACACCAGUGGCGAAGGCGGCUUUCUGGACUGUAACUGACGUUGAGGCUCGAAAGUGUGGGUAGCAAACAGGAUUAGAUACCCUGGUAGUCCACACUGUAAACGAUGAGUGCUAGUUGUUCGAGGGUUUC